rnacentral:rRNA from 1 species
GAUGAACGCUGGCGGCGUGCCUAAUACAUGCAAGUCGAGCGAACAGACGAGGAGCUUGCUCCUCUAACGUUAGCGGCGGACGGGUGAGUAACACGUGGAUAACCUACCUAUAAGACUGGGAUAACUUCGGGAAACCGGAGCUAAUACCGGAUAAUAUAUUGAACCGCAUGGUUCAAUAGUGAAAGACGGUUUUGCUGUCACUUAUAGAUGGAUCCGCGCCGCAUUAGCUAGUUGGUAAGGUAACGGCUUACCAAGGCAACGAUGCGUAGCCGACCUGAGAGGGUGAUAGGCCACACGGGAACUGAGACACGGUCCAGACUCCUAAGGGAGGCAGCAGUAGGGAAUCUUCCGCAAUGGGCGAAAGCCUGACGGAGCAACGCCGCGUGAGUGAUGAAGGUCUUCGGAUCGUAAAACUCUGUUAUUAGGGAAGAACAAAUGUGUAAGUAACUGUGCACGUCUUGACGGUACCUAAUCAGAAAGCCACGGCUAACUACGUG